rnacentral:rRNA from 1 species
UACGUAGGGGGCAAGCGUUGUCCGGAUUUAUUGGGCGUAAAGAGCGUGUAGGCGGCUAGAUAGGUCCGUUGUGAAAACUCGAGGCUCAACCUCGAGACGCCGGCGGAAACCAUCAGACUAGAGUCCGGAAGAGGAGAGUGGAAUUCCUGGUGUAGCGGUGAAAUGCGCAGAUAUCAGGAAGAACACCCGUGGCUAAGGCGGCUCUCUAGUACGGUACUGACGCUGAGACGCGAAAGCGUGGGGAGCGAACAGG